GUGCUUGCUUCGGCAGCACAUAUACUAAAAUUGAAACGAUACGGAGAAAAUUAGCAUGGCCCCUGAGCAAGGAUGACAUGCAAAUUCGUGAAGCAUUCUAUACUUUU
rnacentral:snRNA from 1 species